UACAGAGGGGGCAAGCGUUGUCCGGAUUUAUUGGGCGUAAAGAGCUCGUAGGCGGUUCGAUAAGUCGGACGUGAAAUCUCCACGCUCAACGUGGAGGGGCCGUUCGAUACUGUCGUGACUCGAGUCCGGUAGGGGAGUGUGGAAUUCCCGGUGUAGCGGUGAAAUGCGCAGAGAUCGGGAAGAACACCCGUAGCGAAGGCGGCACUCUGGGCCGGUACUGACGCUGAGGAGCGAAAGCGUGGGGAGCAAACAGG
rnacentral:rRNA from 1 species